CUAGUGGUUAGGAUUCGGCGCUCUCACC
rnacentral:piRNA from 6 species